rnacentral:rRNA from 1 species
GUGGCAGCCGCCGCGGUAAAACCAGCACCUCAAGUGGUCAGGAUGAUUAUUGGGCCUAAAGCAUCCGUAGCCGGCUCUGUAAGUUUUCGGUUAAAUCUGUACGCUUAACGUACAGGCUGCCGGGAAUACUGCAGAGCUAGGGAGUGGGAGAGGUAGACGGUACUCGGGAGGAAGUGGUAAAAUGCUUUGAUCUCUCGAUGACCACCUGUGGCGAAGGCGGUCUACCAGAACACGUCCGACGGUGAGGGAUGAAAGCUGGGGGAGCAAACCGGAUUAGAUACCCGGGUAGUCCCAGCUGUAAACUAUGCAAACUCAGUGAUGCAUUGGCUUGUGGCCAAUGCAGUGUUGCAGGGAAGCCGUUAAGUUUGCCGCCUGGGAAGUACGUACGCAAGUAUGAAACUUAAAGGAAUUGGCGGGGGAGCACCACAAGGGGUGAAGCCUGCGGUUCAAUUGGAGUCAACGCCAGAAAUCUUACCCGGAGAGACAGCAGAAUGAAGGUCAAGCUGAAGACUUUACCAGACAAGCUGAGAGGUGGUGCAUGGCCGCCGCCAGCUCGUGCCGUGAGAUGUCCUGUUAAGUCAGGUAACGAGCGAGAUCCCUGCCUCUAGUUGCCACCAUUACUCUCAGGAGUAGUGGGGCGAAUUAGCGGGACCGCCGCAGUUAAUGCGGAGGAAGGAAGGGGCCACGACAGGUCAGUAUGCCCCGAAACUCUGGGGCCACACGCGGGCUGCAAUGGUAAUGACAACGGGUCCCGAAUCCGAAAGGAAGAGGUAAUCCUCAAACAUUACCACAGUUAUGACUGAGGGCUGCAACUCGCCCUCACGAAUAUGGAAUCCCUAGUAACUGCGUGUCAUUAUCGCGCGGUGAAUACGUCCCUGCUCCU